ACACAUGCAAGUCGAGGGGCAGCACAUGAUGCAGCAAUGCGGAUGGUGGCGACCGGCGCACGGGUGAGUAACACGUAUGCAACCUGCCUUCAACCGGAGGAUAACCCGUUGAAAGACGGACUAAUACUCCAUAACACAGGGGUCCCGCAUGGGGAUAUUUGUUAAAGAUUAAUCGGUUGAAGAUGGGCAUGCGUUCCAUUAGCUUGUUGGCGGGGUAACGGCCCACCAAGGCAACGAUGGAUAGGGGAACUGAGAGGUUUAUCCCCCACACUGGAACUGAGACACGGUCCAGACUCCUACGGGAGGCAGCAGUGAGGAAUAUUGGUCAAUGGGGGCAACCCUGAACCAGCCAAGUCGCGUGAAG
rnacentral:rRNA from 1 species